rnacentral:lncRNA from 1 species
UAUUUCGAGAAUUCACUUUCUUAUAGAGAGGGAGAGAAAUGAGAAAGGAAAGUGGGUUUUUGGCUGUGAACAAGAGAGGAGAGGGGUGAGGGGUUUUAUAAGCUGUUACAAUUGCAAACAAGCCCUCUCUCUAUUCUUAUUUACAGUAGACCAACCUGCUGUUUCGUAGCACUGCGUACCAGUACGCGGGAUUGCAUCACCGGUACGCCCCUGAUAAUCUGCUCAAAC